GCCUGCGUGGUGUAAUGGUCAGCACACUCGGUGCGUAUUCGAGAGGUCCAAGGUUCAAGUCCUUGCAAGGACA
rnacentral:tRNA from 1 species